rnacentral:rRNA from 1 species
CAACAGGGAUUGCCUCAGUAACUGCGAGUGAAGCGGCAAAAGCUCAAAUUUGAAAUCUGACGUCACCUGGCGUUCGAAUUGUAAUUUGGAGGGGCAUUUUCGGAGCUGGCGUCGUCCUAANUUCCUUGGAACAGGACGUCACANAGGGUGANAAUCCCGUGCCUGGAUGGCUGUCCAGCUCCAUGUGAGGUGUCUCCGACAANUCAAGUUGUUUGGGAAUGCAGCUCAAAAUGGGUGGUAAAUUUCAUCUAAAGCUAAAUACUGGCGANAGACCGAUAGCGCACAAGUAGAGUGAUCGAAAGAUGAAAAGCACUUUGAAAAGANAGUUAAAAAGUACGUGAAAUUGUUGAAAGGGAAGCGCUUGAGACCAGACUCAACCUUCGGUGAUCACCGUGCUUUUGUGCGGUGCACUUGCCGGGGGUUGGGCCANCAUCNGUUUUGACGGUGGGAUAAANGUUCGAAGAAUGUGGCUCCCNAUUUCCGGGAAUGUUAUACCCUGAACGCAAUGCCNCUGUUNGGACCNAGGACCCNCUCCCCUAGGAUGCUGGCCCAUGGUCU